rnacentral:rRNA from 1 species
AACGAACGCUGGCGGCAUGCCUAACACAUGCAAGUCGAACGAGACCUUCGGGUCUAGUGGCGCACGGGUGCGUAACGCGUGGGAACCUGCCCUUAGGUUCGGAAUAACUCCCCGAAAGGGGUGCUAAUACCGGAUAAUGUCUUCGGACCAAAGAUUUAUCGCCUUUGGAUGGGCCCGCGUUGGAUUAGCUAGUUGGUAGGGUAAAAGCCUACCAAGGCGACGAUCCAUAGCUGGUCUGAGAGGAUGAUCAGCCACACUGGGACUGAGACACGGCCCAGACUCCUACGGGAGGCAGCAGUGGGGAAUAUUGGACAAUGGGCGCAAGCCUGAUCCAGCAAUGCCGCGUGAGUGAUGAAGGCCUUAGGGUUGUAAAGCUCUUUUACCCGGGAUGAUAAUGACAGUACCGGGAGAAUAAGCUCCGGCUAACUACGUG